CUAGGUUCAUUCAUUUUUUCUUCUUUGAAUAAAUAUUUACUUAGUAUCUAUUGUAAUCCCUGCACUGCAGUAACUGAUGAUGUAGCAGAAAGACAUAAAUACUAAUAGGACCUCACAUUCUAGAGGGCAAAUAUGUCCCAGAAUAAAAGUACUCAGUACCUUAUAUUUUUAUUGGACUUUACUUAAUUGCUACCUCUUCUUAUUGACCCCAUAGGGUAGGGACUGUGUCUUAUACCCCUUGGCAUCACCGCUUUGAGCCUCCAAUCUACAUGUAAUACGUGAUGUAAAACCACUAGAUGUAAUACCAUGAUGCUAACCCAAGGAAAGGUUUCCAGAAAGAACCCUACCAUCUUUAGAGAAGGGGCAAGAAGAUGAGAAGAUGGGGGCCAACCCAAGAUCCAGAAACAGCCUAUUCUCUCUUCUCUCAGACAGAAACAAGACAGAAGUCAAAGUUUAUAUUUCAAACUUAGGGACCAUCAUGUCAGAAGACGAGCUUGAGCUGCGUGAGUCUGAGAGCCUCUGUGUUCUCUGCAGCUGUGCAUGCUACAUCCUCAAUCAGAGAGGUUCCCUGAGAGAUGCUGAUUAAUUUUCUCAACAGCCAAGCUUUGGGGGACGCCCUGUCAUCAGCCUUGGACAGGGGAAGGAGAGGGGCCUUGGAGGCUGAGUGUUUGGGCACCAGAGAGGUCUUUGGCUAAGGUCAAAACUAGGCACCUGUUUUGGAAUCUCAGGACUAAAGAGAGGUUAGGUCAUUGUGCAUUUCCUCUGGUAAAGGAGAGACUGUAAAGGAAGACUUCUGGUUGCCCAGUGGUUAGAACUCUAAGCUUUCAUUGCCGAGAGCCUGGGUUAGAUCCCGGGUUGGGGAACUGAGAUCUCACAAGCACAGAAAAAAAGAAAUGGGGAGGGGGAGAAUAUAAAGGGUAGGAUGAAGGAAUUGAGGAUCUCAGGGGUUACAGACGAGUUAUUUCAGUAGGCACAUUCUCAAUAGCGCACACAAUGUCUUCUUUCUCUCACACACACUAACGUACACCCGCCACAAAUAAAGACUCUAGACUCCUAAAAUAUAAUUCUACACAAACAAUGUCCAACCCCCACUCUCAGAGAGCAUGAGUGUCUGUAAGAGAAUGGGAGACCAGGGCUAGUCAUGGCGUCUUGCUUGUUAGCUGGCGAGCGAUUUGUAGGUGCUCUGGGUCCUGGUGGGGAGCUGGAGCCAGAGCAACUACCCGGGAAGUUGCGGGCAGAGCUUGAGGCCGCGAUAGGGAAGAAGAACAAGGGCAGCAAUCGCCCGGCUCGCCUGGUUUCUUUCCGCCUGAUCCGGGAUCUGCAUCAGUAUUUGAGAGAAAGGGGUUCCAAACUAUACCUUCAUGAGCUCCUAGAAGGCAGUGAAAUCUAUAUCCCAGAGGUGGUGAAGCCUCCUCGGAACCCAGAGCUAGUUGCUCAUCUGGAAAAGAUUAAGAUACAGCUGGCCAAUGAGGAAUAUAAGCGGAUCACCCGCAAUGUCACCUGUCAGGAUCCAAGGCACGGCGGAACUCUCAGUGACCUGGGAAAGCAAGUGAGGUCAGUGAAGGCUCUGGUCAUCACCGUCUUCAACUUCAUUGUCACGGUGGCGGCUGCCUUUGUCUGCACUUACUUGGAAGCCAGUAUAUCUUCAGAGAAAUGACCUCGCGGGUACUGGCUGCCUGAUGGUGGCCUCUGCGGUGGGUCUGGCCGAGCUCUACGUCAUGGUGCGGGCGAUGGAAGGCGAGUUGGGAGAACUGUAACUGUGCUUCCUCAUUGAAGUCCGGAGACUCCAGGACUGCCAGCUGCUGAUCCUCAGUCAGUGAUUUGUACUCAGCCGAGUCAAGGCCACCUGCUCUUCCUGCGGGACAGUCCCAUCCUGUCCGUUAACAGAGGGGGCAGCAGAGGAGACUCAGACGACAGUGAAGAACUGAUCUGUCCGUGCAUCUUCCCGAAGCCAGUGCCCAUCUGCCUUCUACUGUCCGUUCUGGGCAUUGCUGGGGCUGGGGUUUUUUCCCACUGGAAUCAAAGAGAAUCCAGGCCUUUCCAGAAGUAGACCAUACUGCCUUGAACUUUCCCAGGUGCACAAGUCAGUCGUCAUCCUUGCUCCACAUAUCUUGAUGCAGACCUGUAAUUUAUAUCAGAAGACUCCAGAAUAGCAGAGGGAUUUGCUUUCUCCAGUUUGUGCUGGAAGGAGAACUGAUCAGAGGACAUCAAAUAAAAGAAAGCCAGUUGAUGCAGGAUGGUGCAAUUGUACGCAAGGCAACUUUUUGGAAUCUUAGUUUCUGCCUUCAUUUUCUUCCUUCUGGUGGCCUUGUUCAGAUUUUCUGUUUCUGCCUGUCUUCACUACUCAUCAGCCCUCCUUCAACUUCCCACCUUCUGGUCACCCUUUGCUCUGCUUCCAAAAAUGAAAACAAUGCAGAUAGUAAAGCAGUAUGUCUACUUUUAAUUGCAAAACCCCUUGUACUUCUUUGUAUUUGUAAGGGGAGUAUGCCUACUGUGAAUUGUCUCAGCUAAUGAUUCUUUGUAGACUGGUGACUGUUUUCAGAUUGAACUGUAUGUGUAAUUUAUAUGAGUAUACAUAAAGCAAAAAUACAUGGUAUGUGUACAUAUUGUUAUAAAUAAGCCUGUUAUAGGUUAUUUUAUGUGGAUUCUUAAACAUGUUUGGGUAAGUGCAAAAAAUAGUAUGUAAAAUUAUUUUACAUGAUUGCUUUUGGUCUUCAGAACCAUUCCGGGGGUUAGGAAAGGAAGCAGUUGUAGGCCCCUUUUCCAGAAGACAAGACCGAGACUGAGAGAGGUGAAAUGACCCCCAGCGGUCCUUUUUCUGUUAAAUGGAGCCAAAGACUCCUAGGUUAUCUUGAAGUCUCUGUGUAAUGUUAAACCUGUAAGAACUUAGAUUAGUGGUGUGUUGGUGGAAUCUGUGUAAGUCUUUUAGAAAUUAUAGUGGCAUUAUUAUUUAUCCAAUAAAUAUUUAUCAAAUCCAG